rnacentral:rRNA from 1 species
CACGUAGGGCGCAAGCGUGUCCGGAAUUAUUGGGCGUAAAGAGCUCGUAGGUGGUUUGUUACGUCCGCUGUGAAAUCCUAGGGCUUAACCCUGGGCUUGCAGCGGAUACGGGCAGACUAGAGGUAGGUAGGGGAGAAUGGAAUUCCUGGUGUAGCGGUGAAAUGCGCAGAUAUCAGGAGGAACACCGGUGGCGAAGGCGGUUCUCUGGGACGGUACUGACGCUGGAGACGCGAAAGCGUGGGGAGCAAACGGG